CCUGGAUAUUUUUAUUUUUUCACAAUGUUUUUAAGAGGAAACGUUUGUUUUUCUUAUGCAAAUAUUUGUAAAGGUUUUUUUUUCUUUUGUCAUGAG